GCCCAUAGAGCAUAAACUAAAAUGGUUUAAUAUAUCACCCUAAUCAGCAAAAAAGUCGAAAUCAUUUUGCGUAAGAAGUGAAUUUCACACACAUUUUGAAGGGUCACAGGCACAAACGAAGACAACGCUCAUGAAGUCACUGCACUGAAGCAUUUCCCUGAGCCCUUUAAAGCACCAGCUCUACUCCUUGAAGAAUAAAGCAUUGCAAAUUGCAGAAAUGAGAGUUGAAAUCAAAUGAUUGAAGUGAAUCCUAUUUUGAUCACUUUUUAGCUAAAUUGAAGAAUUCAGCGCAGAGGAAAGGCCAUGUGAAUACACAGCCAGAACGUGUCUGUCUACAAAACAAAGAGAGACAACUUUCAUGAAUCCAACCCUGCUGGCACUUUGAUUUUGGACUUCUAAGCUUCAGAACCAUGAGAAAAUUAAUUUAUAUGCAUUAAGGCACUCAAUGUAUG
rnacentral:lncRNA from 13 species